rnacentral:rRNA from 1 species
CAAGUCGAGCGAAUCAAUAGGAGCUUGCUCCUGUUGGUUAGCGGCGGACGGGUGAGUAACACGUGGGCAACCUGCCUGUAAGAUUGGGAUAACACCGGGAAACCGGUGCUAAUACCGGAUAAUUCUUAUCAACACAUGUUGGUAAGCUGAAAGUCGGUUUCGGCUGACACUUACAGAUGGGCCCGCGGCGCAUUAGCUAGUUGGUGAGGUAACGGCUCACCAAGGCGACGAUGCGUAGCCGACCUGAGAGGGUGAUCGGCCACACUGGGACUGAGACACGGCCCAGACUCCUACGGGAGGCAGCAGUAGGGAAUCUUCCACAAUGGACGAAAGUCUGAUGGAGCAACGCCGCGUGAGCGAAGAAGGCCUUCGGGUCGUAAAGCUCUGUUGUCAGGGAAGAACAAGUAUCGGAGUAACUGCCGGUACCUUGACGGUACCUGACCAGAAAGCCACGACUAACUACGUGCCAGCAGCCGCGGUAAUACGUAGGUGGCAAGCGUUGUCCGGAAUUAUUGGGCGUAAAGCGCGCGCAGGCGGUCCUUUAAGUCUGAUGUGAAAGCCCACGGCUCCACCGUGGAGGGUCAUUGGAAACUGGGGGACUUGAGUGCAGAAGAGGAAAGCGGAAUUCCACGUGUAGCGGUGAAAUGCGUAGAGAUGUGGAGGAACACCAGUGGCGAAGGCGGCUUUCUGGUCUGUAACUGACGCUGAGGCGCGAAAGCGUGGGGAGCAAACAGGAUUAGAUACCCUGGUAGUCCACGCCGUAAACGAUGAGUGCUAAGUGUUAGAGGGUUUCCGCCCUUUAGUGCUGCAGCUAACGCAUUAAGCACUCCGCCUGGGGAGUACGGCCGC